rnacentral:rRNA from 1 species
UACAGAGGGGGCAAGCGUUAUUCGGAAUUAUUGGGCGUAAAGGGCGCGUAGGCGGCAUGGCAAGUGGAUGGUGAAAUCCCUCGGCUUAACCGAGGAACUGCCGUCCAAACUGCUUCGCUUGAGACCGGGAGAGGUGAGUGGAAUUCCCAGUGUAGCGGUGAAAUGCGUAGAUAUUGGGAGGAACACCAGUGGCGAAGGCGGCUCACUGGACCGGUACUGGCGCUGAUGCGCGAAAGCGUGGGGAGCAAACGGG